AUUCAUCCACACUCACGCCUGCGCAAAGCCGCUGCAUGCUCGCGCAGUUCGUGUCGCUUCCCCGCAGUCCGGACGAGCGCACGGCUGCAGGAGCUCUAUUUAUAUCGUAUCACGAGCACUCGCUGGUUGUUACCUGAACAUAUUCACCUCUAGGAAAUAUGUGGAGCACUGCACAAGUUACACGUUCAAGUUGCAUUGUCGGAAUUUCCUGACAAUAAUGGGUAGAAGAAAUUUUUCUGGCCAGACACCUAAUACGAUUUGGACUCUCUGCCUUCAGAUGAUGGAGCUGUCUGAUCAUACUGUCUAAAAGCCAAAAGCUAGCAACGUGGGGGAGAGACAAGCACUCCUGGGUUGGACCUGCUCAUCCUGAGUGCUGGAAACUGCCAAACUACCAUACCAAUAAGUUGGGGUUUGGGAGAGCCUCCCUCUAUGAGCUUUGCCAGGGGGAGGCCCUUUAUUCUGGACACACAGACUUUUGCCCCUCCUCUUGUCCCAGAACAAUCAGAGCAUGCAAGGACAGACACUAUGCUUUUUAUUUCUUCUUGCAAAUAUCUUUUGAGUGCCAAGCUAAUGAAAAGAGCACCCACUCACUGCUCUGCACCCCAUCCUGUAAAGCUUAGGCAAGAGUCUAUUACCUUAAGGGAACCUCUGGGAAACUGGAUUUUAUUGUUAUUUUGAUGCUUAAAAAGAACCUCACCUGUCUGUGGGUCAUUUUCCACUCAAUAGGAUCACUAGUCUCACUCACCAAAGAUGGCAAAUGUAUUCAGCUGGCCUGUGACUUUCUGUGUCUUUCCUCUCUGACUGGAUAGAAAGUACUGCCUUCAUGUGAGGCAAGACAUUUAAUUUGAAAGAUGGGAUGACAUUUUCCUGAGCAAAAAUGCUGGGUUCAAUCAAAAGGUUAUCAAAGUCAUCUGUCCAGAGAGGCAUGGAAAUUAAGUUUGUUGCCAGAGCUUUCAGUUCUCCCGCACUUAUUCUUAAAGUAGUUACUUAUAUGUGAUUGACAUCUUUUUCAGAAUGGCAUCUUGCAUAGGCUUUUAAGGAGGGGUCUUACAACAGUCCAGCAGAAGAGGGAGACCCCCACCACACACUUGUGAGAGGACAGAGGCAACAUUCCCCUUCCAGUAAUUCUGAGAAAUGCCUUAUUAGGUGCUGUAGGCACAUACAUGUUUACUGUAUAUGGGGACAUGUUUAUGUCUAGCAGUUUCUGGAAAAGUGUUAGUAUUUUGUGAAGUGGGCGUUGAAUCCACAGGACAGCAUCCAUAACCAUACCAUAAUACAAUGGUAUGUAUGACCUGUGUACUAUGGGCUCUUCCUGGACUGAUAGAUUGCAGGCCUCAGGGUCCAAAUAAACAGGCAUGUGUGACCUGACUGAGAGUUCCAGUGAAUACUAGCUGCUCAAAAGACACCUGUGGUUUCAAGGAAUGCCUGUCCUUGGAUGACAGCAUCAGCAUUCUGGAAUCAAUGAGACAUGAGAAUGAGGCAUCAUCAAGUUCCCCUAAAAUUAAACAGCAAUGUGGAUUCAUGGUGUAGUGUUUAGUCAAGUGGUUUAUGGCAACAUGCUUGCAAGUCAGUCUGACAUUGGGACAUGGUGACAGUUACUCUGAGAAGAUAGAGAGGAAAAAUACAUACAAAAACAUCCUAGUAGCAGUUAGCCACAGACUAGACAAUUAGCAGUCAGUGAUAAAUGGUACAUGCUAUAGUGUGGGGAAAAGAACUGAACCACAUUAGUUGUGCUACAGGCCUAUCAGCCUAAUUUAUCAGUCAGGGGUGUGGAAGAGUGACACUCUAAACACAUGAGGUAAAUUGGAGUAAGUCAUUCCAGUCUAGGUAUCGCAACAUAAUUCAUUCAUUAAUUCAUUGAUGGAUUUUUUUUUAUAAAUACAUAAAGAUUUUUUUUCUUUGUGCUUUGUCUCAUUUUUUUUUCUUGAUUAUCAGAUAUUUAGUGAAUCAUUAGGAGCUUAUUAAAGAUAUAAAAGAUAUAAAAGAAAAUGCCCUGACUACCUCAUGAUUGAAUAGUUUGGUGUUCUAGCCAGCAGGUGGUGCUGGGUAAUAUGUGAAGAGCAGGGCAGUGGAAACAAUGGGCAUGGCACAAGGCUUUUGCCAUCUGUGUGAUUGGUAGAGCUGUUUGCUUGAUUAACAACUUGUACAGGCAUUUUGGUCUGUCUCCAAAUCUAUAUCAGUAUGUAAGUGUGCAUGUGUGUGUUAUGUGUCUGGUUGGUGGUGGGGGAAUUGCACUUGAACUAGAAAUUACAUUUGCUUGUUCAAGUGGGGUCAUAUACAUAUACAUAUAUAUAUUCUUUCUUGCUUUUAACUGUUUUAACUCAUUCCAACAAUCAAAACCCACUAUGGAAACAUUAGCCAAUAGUUGUAAUUCCUCCUUAUCUUAACUCAGAUGUGUUAUGAUCUAAUUUUGGCACCCAACCACAGUUACUUAUAAAUAUUGUUGCUCAUAUCGGCAAUUAAUAAAAAUGCAAUAUACAUCUUUUUGAUACUGUUACUUUAUCUUGGACAUUCCACGGUUGAAUAAACUGGCAUCAGAGGGUAAUAAAAAU